rnacentral:rRNA from 1 species
UACAGAGGUCUCAAGCGUUGUUCGGAUUCAUUGGGCGUAAAGGGUGCGUAGGUGGCGAGGUAAGUCGGAUGUGAAAUCCCGGGGCUCAACCCCGGAACUGCGCUCGAUACUGCUUGGCUAGAGUACUGGAGAGGAGAUUGGAAUUUACGGUGUAGCAGUGAAAUGCGUAGAUAUCGUAAGGAAGACCAGUGGCGAAGGCGGAUCUCUGGACAGUUACUGACACUGAGGCACGAAGGCCAGGGGAGCAAACGGG